UCUCACUCUGUCUCCCAGGCUGGAAUGCAGUGGUGCGAUCUUGGCUCACUGCAACCUCAGCCUCCCGAGUAGCUGGGACUACAAGCACACGCCACCACACCUGGCUAAUUUUUGUAUUUUUUAGUAGAGAUGGGGUUUCACCAUGUUGACCAGGCUGGUCUUGAACUCCUGACCUCAGGUAAUCCACUCACCUUUGCCUCCAAAGUGCUGGGAUUAUAGGUGUGAGCCACCACACCCGGCCCCAUUCCCUUUUCUAUUCAGAACUACCCCAUUUAGAUAGAAGUAUUAUCCAAUAGUUUUUGUUUGUUUUUGUUUUUUUUUUUUUGAGAUGGAGCCUCGCUCUGUUGUCCAGGCUGGAGUUCAGUGGUGUGAUGUCAGCUCACUGCAACCUCCGUCUCCUGGAUUCAAGAGAUUGUCUUGCCUCAGCCUCCCGGGUAGCUAGGACUACAGGCACAUGCCACUUUCUUUCUAAAGCAUCAUAGAAAUAGCAAUGACACACAUCAUUCUUAGGAUGGUAUGCUGAGGAAUGUAGUCAAUUCUAAAUGAUAACUUUGCUUUCACUUCCAAAAGAAGAUCAGGGGAUUUGGGAGUCCUCAUUAACAAUACAGCUCAUGUUAAUUUCUUUCUUAGGGCCUUUAUUUGA
rnacentral:lncRNA from 1 species